rnacentral:rRNA from 1 species
AUGGACCAUUCCAUCCUUUUUUCCCAUGCAUAUGCAUCGGAUUCGGAUGACGAAGGUCCCGAUGAACAAGUUGAUGAGGAGGGGUUCAUGGUGAAGGAGGCCGAAGCUUUCGAGAAGGUAUUCGGUCGGGAUCACAAGACACCAUUAUUCAAGGAUGUUAGUCUCGCGGAUGAAGCCGUGGAUGGUGGCAAAUCUAUAUCUCUUGGGGUUAGGCCAAGCUCUCACCGUGAUUUGGAAGACGACAAGAACCGGAUUGCUAAAGGGUCGAAGUUUGAAACCUUGUUGGAAUUGAAGACGUGGCUCGACAACUACUCGGUUACGCAUUAUUGUCCACACAAGGUGGCGCACUCGGACGUCAAUGUGUGCUACACGGUUGCAUGUGCAUGUGAAGAUGAAAUAUGUCCGUGGAUUGUGCGUGCAAGACCAUGGAAAGGAGGUCCCGCUUGGCACGUAGUGAGUUGUGUGCCAACUCACAUGUGCCGAGGCAAAAGGGUGGAUGGCAAGAUUGUGUCCCAAGACCACAGACAACUCACGUCCGAGUUCAUCGCUUAUAGGCUCUCCAACUCAAUAUCCACACUUCCAACAAUGAGCGUCCAACAUGUCAUUGACCUUGUGAAAGCCAUCUUUCAUUACAAGGUGAAGUACGGCAAGGCAUGGAAGGUGAAGCAAGCCGCAUUUAAGAUGUUGUAUGGUACUUGGAGGAAGCAUACAACUGAAUCCCUAGGUUGUUGUUAG